CCUACGGGAGGCAGCAGUGGGGAAUAUUGCACAAUGGGGGAAACCCUGAUGCAGCGACGCCGCGUGAGUGAAGAAGUAUUUCGGUAUGUAAAGCUCUAUUAGCAGGGGAGAAAAUGACGGUACCUGACUAAGAAGCCCCGGGCAAAAACGUGACAGCAGCCGCGGUAAUACGUAGGGGGCAACGGUUAUACGGAUUUACUGGGUGUAAAGGGAGCGUAGACGGCUCGGGAAGUCUGAAGUGAAAGGCAGGGGCGUAACCCCUGAUCUGCUUUGGAAACUGCCAUGCGGGAGUGCUGGAGAGGUAAGUGGAAGUCCUGGUGUAGCGGUGAAAUGCGUAGAUAUUAGGAGGAACACCAGUGGCGAAGGCGGCUUACUGGACAGUAACUGACGUUGAGGCGCGAAAGCGUGGGGAGCAAACAGGAUUAGAUACCCUAGUAGUC
rnacentral:rRNA from 1 species